AUUGAACGCUGGCGGCAGGCCUAACACAUGCAAGUCGAGCGGAGCGGCGGACGGGUGAGUAAUGCCUAGGAAUCUGCCUGGUAGUGGGGGAUAACGUCCGGAAACGGGCGCUAAUACCGCAUACUAUCAGAUGAGCCUAGGUCGGAUUAGCUAGUUGGUGGGGUAAAGGCCUACCCAGGCGACGAUCCGUAACUGGUCUGAGAGGAUGCUCAGUCAAACGGGAACGGAGACAAGGUCCAGACUCCGACGGGAGGCAGCAGUGGGGAAUAUUGAACAAGGGGCGCAAGCCUGAUGCAGCCAUGCCGCGUGUAUGAAGAAGGCCUUCGGGUUGUAAAGUACUUUCAGAGGGGAGGCGUUACCCGCAGAAGAAGCACCGGCUAACUCCGUGCCAGCAGCCGCGGUAAUUC
rnacentral:rRNA from 1 species